rnacentral:rRNA from 1 species
UACGUAGGUGGCAAGCGUUAUCCGGAAUUAUUGGGCGUAAAGCGCGCGUAGGCGGUUUUUUAAGUCUGAUGUGAAAGCCCACGGCUCAACCGUGGAGGGUCAUUGGAAACUGGAAAACUUGAGUGCAGAAGAGGAAAGUGGAAUUCCAUGUGUAGCGGUGAAAUGCGCAGAGAUAUGGAGGAACACCAGUGGCGAAGGCGACUUUCUGGUCUGUAACUGACGCUGAUGUGCGAAAGCGUGGGGAUC